ACCAUGCAGAUUGGAAUGGCACUGUAAGUUUUAUCCUUUUACACAAUAGUGGUUAUUCAGUCAUAGGCUAUUAUAGUGGAUUGGGCACAAUGAAGAUAUAAUUAUAUGUACAGGAAUUUUGGUGAUAUGGUCAUGCUCUUUAUAUCAGAGCAUAGAUUGGUUUUGAAAUUAUCACCUUUGAUAUUUCAUUCACUGAUGCUAUGAUGGUGAUCUGUUUAUCCUUUAUAAGUCUAUAACACUUUAGGGGAAAUCUUUUGCAAUAAAUUUCAUAUGGAAUUAUUGGUUUAUUCAUUAGUAACAGCAAGGGGCUUACUGCUAGAAUUUUUAGGUUAUGAUAUGACUCCUAAUGGUUUAACUAUUUUAUUUGAAAAGCAUGUUGGUUUAUCUUGGUGGCAUAUAAUUGGUUCUGCAUCACAGGAAGUUGCUGUGAAGAAAUUUUUG
rnacentral:misc_RNA from 1 species